GCCCGCCUAGCUCAAUCGGAUAGAGCGUCAGACUCUUAGGAGCGUUACGUCACGGUCACGUGCUUACGUAAUCUGAAGGCUGCGAGUUCGACCCUCGCGGUGGGCU
rnacentral:tRNA from 1 species